CAUGUGCCUCUCCCUCUCGCUAUUCAGGAAUUUCCAGAACCAGGCUUUCUGUCACAUGGCCCUCCAGGCCCCUGUUCGUUGCCUGAUAUAAAAUGAGGUUCCUCACCAUACCCACUCCAGGAAGAUGUGAAGGUAAGGAGAGCUGAGUGUUCUGUGGCUGUGCUUCUGCUCACCCUGGCUCUGGGACUCACGGCUGGAUUCCCUUCUCUGUCGAGCAUGCGUCAGUAGCACGAAGCUCUGAGCUCUGGCUGGCAAGUGCAGUUUGCUGCCGUCAUCCUGCCCUUCUAUGCUCAGGGGCUCCAUGGUUCCCACACUCCACCCUCCUCCUCAAACUUGUUGUUAGGAGAAAUCUGUCAUCCACCUUUGAGUCUAAGUGAGCCUCCAAAGACUUGAAAGCUGAAAGAUUCUUGGAGUGUUUUGAAUCUCCUCCUU